UCUAGAGGUUGGAACCUGGGCUCAUGGUC
rnacentral:piRNA from 1 species